rnacentral:lncRNA from 1 species
UCCGUUGGCCGGAGCCACGGGGAACGGCGCGGGUCCUUCUCCCCCCCACUCGGCCCGAGUGGUCGCGUCCCUUUAAAGGGCCCGCCGGGCGGCGCCUGCGGCGGGGCAGAGCCGGGGCCGCGCACGUGUGGAGUUCGGGCGCCGGUCGUGCCGCGGUGGCGCGGGGAGCGGAGGUCGUGCACCCCAGAAGUAGGCGGCCGGGAGGGAUGAAGUGCUUGCCACGUGUUCUCGGACACUUUGAUCCCACCCAGGAGCGCUGUUCCAAGGAGCUCCGAAGCGGCUCUCUUCCCCGGGGGGAGGGGGGCUGGCUGAGCUGGAGCCCAGGGCGGUGGAGGCCGGAGCGCGGCGGGAAGGGGUAGGGGGAGGCACCAAUCAGCAGCCGAGCCACAGCGACCCCCCAGAGAACGGACACGUGCGACCGCCCUAAGGCGCCGGGCCGAGAGCCCCGCGACCGCGCGGCCGCGCCGGGGCUGCCUGCAGGAGCGCGCACAAUGCGGUUGGCGGGGUGGGGGAUGGGACACGGGGAGAGCGGCAGGGUCCCCGGGAGGGUGCACGCUGGCCCCGGCCCCGGCCCCGGCCCCGAGUGCGCCCUGGAACGGGGGUGCGAGGCGGGGGCCCCCGAAGGACUGGAUUGUGCAGUGCGAAGUCCGAAGGGAGAAAAACACUUCCCGACACUUGAGACCGGCUGGAAGUGGGCGAAGUACCGUGAACCCCAGGUCGCGGCACUGGCCACUGCAAGGGGGUUUUUAGUCCUGGACUCCUCCAUGUGUGAGGGCCUUGGCCGGGCUCUGCGUCCACCUCUCGGUCCGGAGACACCACCCCUGCCGCCUCCCUUGGUGCUCAGCCUUCCAGCUCUGUCCCAACUCUCCUUCCUAACUGCCAUGGAACCUGUCGUUACCUUUAUCCGCCUUGGAAAGCUCAUCUGUGUUGGAUAUCCUGUAAAGCAGGUUUCAGAAGUGAGGCAUCGGGGGAGAGAGAGCCCAAAAAGAUAGGCAACUGGUUGGGGAAGAAGAUGACAGAAACAAUAAGAGAUAAUUUAUUGAGAGAGAAAGUUUACAUUUAAAAAAAAAGCAUAUUGGGACGCCUGGGUGGCUCAGCGGUUGAGCACCUGCCUUUGGCCCAGGGCAUGAUCCUGGAGUCCCAGGAUCAAGUCCCACAUCGGGAUCCCUGCACGGAGCCUGCUUCUCUCUCUGCCUGUGUCUCUGCCUCUCUCUGUGUGUCUCUUAUGAAUAAAUAAAUAAAAUAUUAAAAACA